AGAGGGGGAUGUCUGAGGCCUCGUGCGCCGCGCAGUUCGCCGACGUGGACAGCAGGGGGCUCGCUGCCUUUGGUAGAGAAAGCGCACGGGCUCGCUGAGAGUGAGGAGAGAGGCUUCGGCUCCCGGGGCGGAUCUUCAGGGUCCCGGGAACCCGGGCGUCACCGCCGUCAGUGUGACCGGGUCAGAAAGCGUGGGUCGCCGGAGCGCAGUGUGGCCGCCGCGUAGGGGCGUCAUGGAGGAGGUGCUGGCGGCGCUGGGGCGGGGGAGGCUGCCAGGGGCUCCGCAUGGUCCCAGACAGCCACGCCUGUCCGCGGCGCCCCAGCCUCUUGGUCCAGCCUGGGCCCUGCUUGCUCCCGGCCGCGGGGACUCAGGGUGGGCGGCCCAGGGGCGGCCUUCGGCCUUGGAGAUGUGAACAAGGUGACUGGGACGCUGGGGCCACCUGUCUCUCCCACCGCGGCGCCCAAGUGCCCUCGUGAUUUGAAAAGAGGGAGACACAGUGGGAGCCCAAAGCAUCUAAAGGCGGCGCUGCCGGGAUGAAGCCACAAGGAGAUGACAAGGCUGCACCCGUGUCUGAAAGCGCCUGGCCGUGGCCUACCCGGAAGAACGUAAAGCCGUGCACCGUCACUAGAGCCACGUGGGGGAAGAACGGGUAUGGCUGGGGAGAGCAAAGGCCCAGGGAGAGCCCGACUCCGACCUGGGAGAAACGUUGUCUCCCUGUGUUGCCCAGUCUGAUCUUGAACUUCUGGGCUCAAGCAAUCCUCCUAUCUCUGCCUACCAAAGUGCUGGGAUUACAGGCGUGAGCCACUGUGCCUUGCCAGUUCUGAUUAUAUCUACGUAAGCAUCCAUCAGUCUUCAGCGCUCAGCAUCCUCCCAGGGAGAUGACAGACAAGGAAGGAGGGCAUCUGCUGCACCGCUGCUCAGACUUCAGUGCGUCUGGGGACACGCAGGACGGAGGGACAUCCUCAUGUGAAGACCCAUCCUGCAGAUAUUGAUGGAGGAUCAAGGAUUCCUACCAGGACCAUGUCCUCACCCUGGGCUUUCAGGAAGUGACUAUGGGGACACCCUGCCCUGGCCUGGCCUCCCCUUUCCUCUGCACAGGUGGUGGAAGGGUUUGCAAAGGGCCCAUCAGGAGCCCCUGCACUCUUCCUCUUUUCCACCCCCAACACAGGAUGAGCCUUCGUACUGGCUUCAAACAUGCUUGAGAGUCCUCCAUAUGACCAUCUGUGGGUGGCUCUCAGGUCCCUCUCAGGGUGGUCUGACUUGAGCUGGCCUGGACUGCAUCUGCUCCUCUUCUGAGAUCUCAACCUCCCCAAGUCCUCCAGGUGCCCCAAGCACUGACUCCAGUGUUGGCCUUGCACCUCCCCUGAGCGGCUAGAGAUUCUUCUUCCCAUCACUCUUCCUGCACGGCCUCUCACCACUGCAUUUAUUAAAAGGCAGAGAAUCUGGAGAGUGCUGAUCCUAGAGCACAGCCCCAUAAUCCACCCAGCUGCCCCGAGGCUCAUGAGAGGCAGAAGAGCCACCAACCUUGCUGAACCCAUUUUGAAAAUGUCCCCAGUAAAACCUGAUUGGUGUCCACACUGCAGGACAUUGAGUUGUUUGCAUUUGCAGGUGGGGCCCAGUGGGGACAGUUGCCUCCCCAGCCCUGAAUAUGGGUUUUUGGGAACGUAGACCAGCUGAACAGAUCUGGGGCAGGUAGACUCCCUCUUGUGCUGGUGGACAGCUUGCCCAGUUGCAGUUGUCACUGACCAUGUGGAGAUGAAAUUACGUUGAGUUUCACAGAGGUCCUAGACCUGGAAGUGUGCGGGGAGCUUUGCUGAAAGCAGAGUCCAUCUCCUUGGCCUUCCUGGCUGUUUGGAUGUUCGAGUCCCCUGCAGGGCAUUCUCCUCAUGGCUGGAGCAGCCUGGCCCCUCUCACUGGAGACUUGUUUUCAAGCGAUAUUCUGCUUGGGGGAUCAUAUGGGGAUAUCAGGCUCAUAUCCCAUCAUAGAAUGGACUCCUCUGUGGCCCAAAUGCUAACUGGAGCAGUCCAAGGAGGCCGUCACCAUUUUGGAACACCUGCCAGGGUGGCCCUGGGGGUGUCGACUCCUGGUCAGGAGGAAGAGCUUUCCUCCACCUCAGUGAUUUGCCCUGGGCUGAGGCAGGCAGGAGGGGUCACAGGGGUGACUUCUAAUGAAUGAAGGUCUUGAAUUUGUUCCUCAGCCUGGGCCUACUGAGAAGAAUGGGAUAGACUUUGGGAUCUUGAUGUUUCUUGCCCCAGAGACAAAAGAACAAAGUUGACCAAAUUUUAACCCAGAUGUAAAACAGGCCUUUACAAUAAUGCCCAGAAUCUUCAAUUAUGUGUGGUAGAACGCUUUCUCUGCUUAGAAUUAUAACAUAAGUAAAUUAUUAAAAAUUAUAUUAUUAAAAAUUAUAAUUACAUGGUCAUCUUUUUUUUUUUCCCCAGGACAGAGUGUUGCUCUGUUGCCCAGGCUGGAGUGCAAUGGUGUGAUCUCAGCUCACUGCAACCUCUGCCUCCUUGGUUCAAGCAGUUCUCCUGCCUCAGCCUCCCAAGGAACUACACGCUACCAUGCCUGGCUCAUUUUUUUGUAUUUUUAGUAGAAACAGGGUUUCACCAUGUUGGCCAGGCUGGUCUUGAACUUCUGACUUCAUGAUCCACCCAUCUUGGCCUUCCAAAGUGCUGGUAUUGGAGGCGUGAGCCACCACUCCUGGUCUAAAUGCAUAUUUCUAAGUGAAAAAAGUCAAUAGGAAAAGGCUAUAUACAAUAUAAUUCCAGCAAUAUGGCAUUCUGGAAAAUGCAGAAUUAUAGUGACAGUAAAAAGAUCGGUGGUUACCAAAGGCCAGGAGUAGGGAAGGAGUGCUAAGCAGGAGUUUUUAGGGCAGUGAAUCUAUUCAGUGCACAAUGGUGGGUCCCUGACAUCAUGCAUUUGGCAAAACCCACAGGACUGUGCAACACAAAGAAUGACCCUUACUAACAUAAGCCACGGACUUUAAUAUUAACGUGUCAACAUUUAUUAUCAAUAUUGGUUUCUACAAUUUUAUCAAAUGUACAACAUGAAUGUGAGAUGUUAAAAUCGUGAAGACUGUGGCCUGAGGUGGGAGGGAAUCUAUGGGAACUCUAGGUACUUACUGCUCACUUCUGUAAACCUAAAACCAUUAUAAAAAUAAAGGAUAUUAAUUUUAAAAA